rnacentral:rRNA from 1 species
GCAACUCGCCUACACGAAGUCGGAAUCGCUAGUAAUCGCGGAUCAGCACGCCGCGGUGAAUACGUUCCCGGGCCUUGUACACACCGCCCGUCACACCAUGGGAGUUUGUAACGCCCAAAGUCGGUGGCCUAACCUUUAUGGAGGGAGCCGCCUAAGGCGGGACAGAUGACUGGGGUGAAGUCGUAACAAGGUACC